rnacentral:rRNA from 1 species
GUCCACGCUGUAAACGAUGAGUGCUAGGCGUCGGCAAGCUUGCUUGUCGGUGCCGCAGCUAACGCGUGAAGCACUCCGCCUGGGGAGUACGGUCGCAAGAUUAAAACUCAAAGGAAUUGACGGGGGCCCGCACAAGCGGUGGAGCAUGUGGUUUAAUUCGACGCAACGCGCAGAACCUUACCAGCCCUUGACAUCCCGUGACCGGCUCAGAGAUGGGUUUUCCCAGCAAUGGGCACGGAGACAGGUGCUGCAUGGCUGUCGU